CGCACGGGUGAGUAACACGUAUCCAACCUGCCGUCUACUCUUGGACAGCCUUCUGAAAGGGAAGAUUAAUACAAGAUGGCAUCAUGAGUCCGCAUGUUCACAUGAUUAAAGGUAUUCCGGUAGACGAUGGGGAUGCGUUCCAUUAGGCAGUUGGUGGGGUAACGGCCCACCAAACCGACGAUGGAUAGGGGUUCUGAGAGGAAGGUCCCCCACAUUGGUACUGAGACACGGACCAAACUCCUACGGGAGGCAGCAUG
rnacentral:rRNA from 1 species